CAUGCAGGCGGUUAUACAAGUAGGAUGUGAAAGCCUGGGGCUCAACCUCAGAACUGCAUUCUAAACUGUGUGACUAGAGUAUUGCAGGGGGAGACGGAAUUUCAGGUGUAGCGGUGGAAUGCGUAGAUAUCUGGAAGAACACCAAAGGCGAAGGCAGUCUCCUGGGCAAAUACUGACGCUCAUAUGCGAAAGCGUGGUAGCAAACA
rnacentral:rRNA from 1 species